GUAAAAUUAGUUUAUAUAAAAUACUAGGUUGUGGGCUUAGAGAAAAAAAGGUUUUAUUUUACU
rnacentral:tRNA from 2 species